AACUUUCAACAACGGAUCUCUUGGCUCUCGCAUCGAUGAAGAACGCAGCGAAAUGCGAUACGUAAUGUGAAUUGCAGAAUUCAGUGAAUCAUCGAAUCUUUGAACGCACCUUGCGCUCCUUGGUAUUCCGAGGAGCAUGCCUGUUUGAGUGUCAU
rnacentral:rRNA from 2 species